rnacentral:tRNA from 1 species
UCCCCAAUAGCUCAGACGGUCAAGAAUCUGCCUGCAAUGCAGGAGACCUGGGUUCGAUGCCUGGGUGGGGAA